AUUCUACUAUAUUGACACUUUCUGACUAUCUCCUUAAACCUCUCCCAUGCUUCAAACACAGUUUCAGUCUCUUUCUGGUAGAAGUUAUGGAUUUCUCUUCUAAACUU
rfam:Nicotiana sylvestris Nsyl_contig174538, whole genome shotgun sequence.